AGGGAAUCUUCCGCAAUGGACGAAAGUCUGACGGAGCAACGCCGCGUGAGUGAUGAAGGUUUUCGGAUCGUAAAGCUCUGUUGCCAGGGAAGAACGUCCGGUAGAGUAACCGCUAUCGGAGUGACGGUACCUGAGAAGAAAGCCCCGGCUAACUACGUGCCAGCAGCCGCGGUAAUACGUAGGGGGCAAGCGUUGUCCGGAAUUAUUGGGCGUAAAGCGCGCGCAGGCGGCUAUUUAAGUCUGAUGUUUAAUCCUAAGGCUCAACCUUAGGUCGCAUUGGAAACUGGGUAGCUUGAGUGCAGAAGAGGAGAGUGGAAUUCCACGUGUAGCGGUGAAAUGCGUAGAGAUGUGGAGGAACACCGGUGGCGAAGGCGACUCUCUGGGCUGUAACUGACGCUGAGGCGCGAAAGCGUGGGGAGCAAAC
rnacentral:rRNA from 1 species